UACGGAGGGUGCAAGCGUUAUCCGGAUUCACUGGGUUUAAAGGGUGCGUAGGUGGGCUAGUAAGUCCGUGGUGAAAUCUCCGGGCUCAACCUGGAAACUGCCAUUGAUACUAUUAGUCUUGAAUUCUGUUGAGGUAGGCGGAAUAAGUCAUGUAGCGGUGAAAUGCUUAGAUAUGACUUAGAACACCAAUUGCGAAGGCAGCUUGCUAAACAGAUAUUGACGCUGAGGCACGAAAGCGUGGGGAGCAAACAGG
rnacentral:rRNA from 1 species